AGGUUCCUGACCCUCCCUGUUCAGUGAUACUAACACACCAACCAGAGGGGGUUGAUUCCCUCACCAGUGGUACUUAUCCGUACAGCAGCAUUAGUUCUCAUUUGCGGCUGCCUUGGACUGGGCUGUGCUGGUGAUGACACAUGGAGGAUCAGAGGAUUACGUUGUGCCCCUGUCCAGUUCUUGUGGAAAUGUGUUUUUCUGCAUUGCUUCUUUAAGAAAAACAGAAGAUUUGAAGAGUACUGCCUGCAGC